rnacentral:rRNA from 1 species
UACGUAGGGUGCAAGCGCUGUCCGGAAUUAUUGGGCGUAAAGAGCUCGUAGGCGGCUAGUCGCGUCGGCUGUGAAAACCUGGGGCUCAACCCCGGGCCUGCAGCCGAUACGGGUUAGCUAGAAUUCGGUAGGGGAGACUGGAAUUCCUGGUGUAGCGGUGAAAUGCGCAGAUAUCAGGAGGAACACCGGUGGCGAAGGCGGGUCUCUGGGCCGAUAUUGACGCUGAGGAGCGAAAGCGUGGGGAGCGAACAGG